GACGAACGCUGGCGGCGUGCUUAACACAUGCAAGUCGAACGGAAAGGCCCUGCUUUUGUGGGGUGCUCGAGUGGCGAACGGGUGAGUAACACGUGAGUAACCUGCCCUUGACUUUGGGAUAACUUCAGGAAACUGGGGCUAAUACCGGAUAGGAGCUCCUGCUGCAUGGUGGGGGUUGGAAAGUUUCGGCGGUUGGGGAUGGACUCGCGGCUUAUCAGCUUGUUGGUGGGGUAGUGGCUUACCAAGGCUUUGACGGGUAGCCGGCCUGAGAGGGUGACCGGCGACAAUGGGACUGAGAUACGGCCCAGACGCCUACGGGAGGCAGAAGGGGGAAAUAUUGCACAAUGGGCGGAAGCCUGAUGCAGCAACGCCGCGUGCGGGAUGACGGCCUUCGGGUUGUAAACCGCUUUCGCCUGUGACGAAGCGUGAGUGACGGUAAUGAGUAAAGAAGCACCGGCUAACUACGUG
rnacentral:rRNA from 1 species